rnacentral:rRNA from 1 species
GAGGAAAGAGGGAGGUAUGCUUAACACAUGCAAGUCGAACGGUCACUUCGGUGAUAGUGGCGGACGGGUGAGUAACGCGUGAGAAUCUGUCUUCAGGUCGGGGACAACAGUUAGAAAUGACUGCUAAUACCGGAUGUGCCUUUGGGUGAAAGAUUUAUUGCCUGAAAAAGAGCUCGCGUCAGAUUAGCUAGUAGGUGGUGUAAGAGACUACCUAGGCUCCGAUCUGUAGCUGGUCUGAGAGGACGAUCAGCCACACUGGAACUGAGACACGGUCCAGACUCCUACGGGAGGCAGCAGUGGGGAAUUUUCCGCAAUGGGCGAAAGCCUGACGGAGCAAUACCGCGUGAGGGACGAAGGCUUUUGGGUCGUAAACCUCUUUUCUCAAGGAAGAUGAUGACGGUACUUGAGGAAUAAGCAUCGGCUAACUCUGUG